rnacentral:rRNA from 1 species
UCUACGGGAGGCAGCAGUGGGGAAUAUUGGACAAUGGGCGCAAGCCUGAUCCAGCCAUGCCGCGUGAGUGAUGAAGGCCUUAGGGUUGUAAAGCUCUUUUGUCCGGGAAGAUAAUGACUGUACCGGAAGAAUAAGCCCCGGCUAACUUCGUGCCAGCAGCCGCGGUAAUA